rnacentral:rRNA from 1 species
UACGGAGGGUGCGAGCGUUGUCCGGAAUCACUGGGCGUAAAGGGCGCGUAGGCGGCGCGACAAGGCGGCGGUGAAAGUCCGGGGCUCAACCCCGGAUCGGCCGUGGCGACUGUCGCGCUCGAGCACAGUAGAGGCGGGUGGAAUUCCGGGUGUAGCGGUGGAAUGCGCAGAUAUCAGGAGGAACACCGGUGGCGAAGGCGGGUCUCUGGGCAGUAACUGACGCUGAGGAGCGAAAGCGUGGGGAGCGAACAGG